rnacentral:rRNA from 1 species
AUUGAACGCUGGCGGCAGGCCUAACACAUGCCAGUCGAGCGGAUGAAGGGAGCUUGCUCCUGGAUUCAGCGGCGGACGGGUGAGUAAUGCCUAGGAAUCUGCCUGGUAGUGGGGGAUAACGUCCGGAAACGGGCGCUAAUACCGCAUACGUCCUGAGGGAGCAAGUGGGGGAUCUUCGGACCUCACGCUAUCAGAUGAGCCUAGGUCGGAUUAGAUAGUUGGUGGGGUAAAGGCCUACCAAGGCGACGAUCCGUAACUGGUCUGAGAGGAUGAUCAGUCACACUGGAACUGAGACACGGUCCAGACUCCUAAGGGAGGCAGCAGUGGGGAAUAUUGGACAAUGGGCGAAAGCAUGAUACAGCCAUGCCGCGUGUGUGAAGAAGGUCUUCGGAUUGUAAAGCACUUUAAGUUGGGAGGAAGGGCAGUAAGUUAAUACCUUGCUGUUUUGACGUUACCAACAGAAUAAGCACCGGCUAACUUCGUG